rnacentral:rRNA from 1 species
UACGUAGGGUGCGAGCGUUAAUCGGAAUUACUGGGCUAAAGCGUGCGCAGGCGGUGAUGUAAGACCGAUGUGAAAUCCCCCGGGCUUAACCUGGGAACUGCAUUGGUGACUGCAUUGCUCGAGUAUGGCAGAGGGGGGGUGGAAUUCCACGUGUAGCAGUGAAAUGCGUAGAGAUGUGGAGGAACACCGAUGGCGCAAGGCAGCCCCCUGGGCCGAAUACUAACGCUCAUGCA